UGGUUCUCGCAUCGAUGAAGAACGCAGCGAAAUGCGAUAAGUAAUGUGAAUUGCAGAAUUCAGUGAAUCAUCGAAUCUUUGAACGCACCUUGCACCUUUUGGUAUUCCGAAAGGUACAUCUGUUUGAGUGUCAUGAAUCCCUCAACCCCGACACUUUCUUGUAGAGUGUCGGAGCGUUGGAUGCUGAGUGUUGCUGUGUCACCACAGCUCGCUUCAAAUGUAUAAGCAAUCUUGUCAUCAACUGGAUUGACUCGGCGUGAUAAGAUCUUCGUCGAGGAUGCUUCUAUAGCAGCCAGAUGGUGUAACAAGUCGCUCCCAAACCUGUAGCGGCCUCGGCUGCCUCAAUCUUACAUUUAGACCUCAAAUCAGAUGGGACUACCCGCUGA
rnacentral:misc_RNA from 1 species